AGGAUGAACGCUGGCGGCGUGCCUAACACAUGCAAGUCGAGCGAUGAGGCUCCCUUCGGGGGGUACAUCAGCGGCGAACGGGUGAGUAACACGUGGGUGACCUUCCCCAAAGACGGGGAUAACUCUUGGAAACAGGGGCUAAUACCCGAUGUGCUCAGCAGUUCACUCUGUUGAGUAAAGCUAUGGCGCUUUGGGAUGGGCCCGCGGCCCAUCAGCUAGUUGGUAGGGUAAUGGCCUACCAAGGCUAAGACGGGUAGGGGGCGUGAGAGCGCGAUCCCCCACACUGGCACUGAGACACGGGCCAGACUCCUACGGGAGGCAGCAGUGAGGAAUAUUGCGCAAUGGACGAAAGUCUGACGCAGCGACGCCGCGUGGGCGAUGAAGGCCUUCGGGUCGUAAAGCCCUUUUCUGGGGGAAGAGAAAGGACGGUACCCCAGGAAUAAGCCCCGGCUAACUACGUGCCAGCAGCCGCGGUAAAACGUAGGGGGCAAGCGUUAUCCGGAUUUACUGGGCGUAAAGAGCGUUGAGGCGGCUUUGUAAGUUGGGCGUGAAAGCCCUGGGCUUAACUCAGGGAAGCCGUUCAAUACUGCGAAACUUGAGGGCAGCAGAGGGAGGUGGAAUUCCCGGAGUAGCGGUGAAAUGCGUAGAUAUCGGGAGGAACACCAGUGGCGAAGGCGGCCUCCUGGGCUGCUCCUGACGCUGAAGGCGAAAGCUAGGGGAGCAAACGGGAUUAGAAACCCCGGUAGUCCUAGCCGUAAACGAUGGAUGCUAGGUGUGGGGGGUGUAGAUUCCCUCCGUGCCGCAGUUAACGCGUUAAGCAUCCCGCCUGGGGAGUACGGCCGCAAGGCUAAAACUCAAACGAAUUGACGGGGGCCCGCACAAGCAGCGGAGCGUGUGGUUUACUUCGAUGCUACACGA
rnacentral:rRNA from 1 species